UUUCUCAUUAAUAAUCUUGAAAG
rnacentral:snRNA from 1 species